rnacentral:rRNA from 1 species
UGGGGAAUUUUGGACAAUGGGCGAAAGCCUGAUCCAGCAAUGCCGCGUGUGUGAAGAAGGCCUUCGGGUUGUAAAGCACUUUUGUCCGGAAAGAAAUCCUUGGCUCUAAUACAGUCGGGGGAUGACGGUACCGGAAGAAUAAGCACCGGCUAACUACGUGCCAGCAGCCGCGGUAAUACGUAGGGUGCAAGCGUUAAUCGGAAUUACUGGGCGUAAAGCGUGCGCAGGCGGUUUGCUAAGACCGAUGUGAAAUCCCCGGGCUCAACCUGGGAACUGCAUUGGUGACUGGCAGGCUAGAGUAUGGCAGAGGGGGGUAGAAUUCCACGUGUAGCAGUGAAAUGCGUAGAGAUGUGGAGGAAUACCGAUGGCGAAGGCAGCCCCCCUGGGCCAAAUACUGACGCUCAUGCACGAAAGCGUGGGGAGCAAACAGGAUUAGAUACCCUGGUAGUCCACGCCCUAAACGAUGUCAACUAGUUGUUGGGGAUUCAUUUCUUAGUAACGUAGCUAACGCGUGAAGUUGACCGCCUGGGGAGUACGUCGCAAGAUUAAAACUCAAAUGAAUUGACGGGGUC